rnacentral:lncRNA from 1 species
CUCUUUUCAUCUUUUACACUAUCACUCUCCUCUCCUUGUCCACCCUUCACCUCAUUCCUCUCUCCUCUUCCCUUUGUCUUUCUUCUCCCCCCAUCUUCAUCCUAUUCCCCUCCUUGCCACCACCAUUUUACACGAUUCCUCCCAAGGUCUGCAGAAUCGAAAUUGGAAUCCAUGCCAAAUGAGUGGUGGUAUGGUUUUGUAUGCCUCCAUAUCAGAUUGUAUCGCGUCGAAACUGACAUGGCAAAGUAAGCAGAGGAGAGGGAGAACUGGAGAGGAAAAGAGAGAUGGGGGAUAGAGGAAAAAGAGAAGCCAGUGAAGAUGCCAGCCAUGGCCGUCGGAGAGCCAUCGAGGCUCUUGAAGGGCCGUUGAGGCCUUCGGAGCUUUGUCCUCCAAAGAGAUCAUAAUAGAGAGGGAGGGAGGGAG